UUUGUUUCUGUGGGGGAGUAGAAUCUAAUGCAGCUCACUGGAAUUGGAUUUGGAAAACUGCAUGUCCUCCAAAGAUAAGAAUUUUCAUAUGGAAAUGCUUUCUUAACCGUCUCCCUACAAGAUCUUUUUUAUCUUGCAUCAUUCCGGGCUUUCCUAACUUUUGUCCUCGGCGUCUCUCUCCUAAAACAACUUUACAUAUCAUUCGCGAUUGCCCAUGGGCUAAAGAUUUUUGGUUGUCUCUUCCUAGAACUAGAUCUUUUCUCUUUGGAUCUUCAAGCAUGGCUAAGGGUUAACAUCACUAAACACCAACUCUAUAGCCCCUCUUCAAUCCCAUGGCAUUUUAUUUUUGCAGAAGGCCUUUGGCAAUUAUGGCUUGCUUGAAAUAAGAGAAUUUUCUCUCCUCCUUCGAAUUCUCUUAAUCAUCUUCUCCACAAAACUUUAAAUCUUACUUUGGAAUUCUUCCACAUCAUAUCUCCAGGAAAAACUAAAACAUCUACAUGUGUCAAAUAUAUUGCGUGGCAACCCUCUCUUUUUCCUUUUUCAUCGCUAAAAACAGAUGGCAGCUCAUUAGGUAACCCUAGUAUUGCAGGAGAGAGGGUGUUAUCAGUAAUCACUUGAGAAAAUGGGUGGAAAGUUUUUCUUGUCAUAUCGGGAUUGCUUCUAAGCUUGUGUCUAGUGAAAGUUUUCACUGGACACAUUGGAUCUUGGACACGUGUUCAAAUCUUGCCGUGUUCAGUGAAAAUUUUCAGUGGACACAAGCCAAGGCUGAAUUGUGGGUUGUUGGACAGGGUUUAAAUACUACUUGGAACAUGGGUUGCUCCUCAACAAGGAAUGGGUGGUCCAUCUACAUCACAUAUACCGUGAGGCAAACUCUGUAGUGGAUGGUCUUGCAAAGAGGGGGAGGAUGCAAGCUAGCUUUUUGGAAAUGUUUACUAAUUGUCCAUCUUUUGUGUUCUAUAAAUAUGUAUGAGACUUUUUGUGUAGAGGGAUUUCACAUGAGUGCUCUUUAGUUCCUAUAACUGGACACCUCUCACGGUGUCUCUUGGACAAAUCUGAUGUACUAACUUUUUAGUAUAAAUAAAAUUCCCUUCUUA